GUAGGUGGCAAGCGUUGUCCGGGAAUUAUUGGGGGCGUAAAGCGCAACGCAGGCGGUUCUUUAAGUCUGAUGUGAAAGCCCACGGGCUCAACCGUGGAGGGUCAUUGGAAACUGGAGAACUUGAGUACAGAAGAGGAAAGCGGAAUUCCACGUGUAGCGGUGAAAUGCGUAGAGAUGUGGAGGAACACCAGUGGCGAAGGCGGCUUUCUGGUCUGUAACUGACGCUGAGGCGCGAAAGCGUGGGGAGCAAACAGGAUUAGAUACCCUGGUAGUCCACGCCGUAAACGAUGAGUGCUAAGUGUUAGGGGGUUUCCGCCCCUUAGUGCUGCAGCUAACGCAUUAAGCACUCCGCCUGGGGAGUACGGCCGCAAAGGCUGA
rnacentral:rRNA from 1 species